CCCUUACUUACAGAAAUGGGCCACAGGAUGAAGGGCUUUUUCUGGUAAGGACCGCUGGGAUUGAACAGAAGCUUCCGGUAAAUAAGGGCCCCGUCGGCAAGACAGCAUACUGCUGUCACAAGUGCAAACACCUGGAAAGAAAGACAAGUGUCACUGCCCUAACCAUGGUCCCCACUCCUGUCAUUCACACAAGUUUUAAGUGGUCUGCCCACCAGAUUCCUCUCUUGCUAGGGUACUCGGAUUGCUCCCUGUGCUUCAUCUAAUACUAACAUGGAGAGACUUCAGAGAUCAUC
rnacentral:lncRNA from 1 species